CCUACGGGUGGCUGCAGUGGGGAAUAUUGGACAAUGGGCGAAAGCCUGAUCCAGCCAUGCCGCGUGUGUGAAGAAGGCCUUCGGGUUGUAAAGCACUUUCAGUGGGAAAGAAAGCCUUGGGGCUAAUACCCUCGAGGAAGGACAUCACCCACAGAAGAAGCACCGGCUAACUCCGUGCCAGCAGCCGCGGUAAUACGGAGGGUGCGAGCGUUAAUCGGAAUUACUGGGCGUAAAGCGCGCGUAGGCGGUCUGAUAAGCCGGUUGUGAAAGCCCCGGGCUCAACCUGGGAACGGCAUCCGGAACUGUCAGGCUAGAGUGCAGGAGAGGAAGGUAGAAUUCCCGGUGUAGCGGUGAAAUGCGUAGAGAUCGGGAGGAAUACCAGUGGCGAAGGCGGCCUUCUGGACUGACACUGACGCUGAGGUGCGAAAGCGUGGGUAGCAAACAGGAUUAGAUACCCUGGUAGUC
rnacentral:rRNA from 1 species